CCGGUGGCGGGCGGGAGGUCGAGGCGGCAGAGCCGAGGCAUGGCCAUCACGCGCGUCAUGUUGACGGCGACGGGGGCCGUGCUGGGGUUGCUGAGAGCCUGGCAGAGGCACUGCGGCUCGUCGUGCACCAUGCUGCCAAGGUUGGCGCAGCAGGUGUCCGCCGGCACGGUGGCGGUGCCCUCGAUGAAGGGCAGGCAGGGGAGGAGGCGGAGGAGGUCAGUGCUGCAGGUGGACGACGUGCCGGCCUGGGGCGGCACCGCAUGGACGGCAGCGACGGAAGCCAGCAGCAGCAGCAGCGCGACGUAGAACGCAGGAGCCGACG
rnacentral:misc_RNA from 1 species